rnacentral:lncRNA from 1 species
AUGUGUAAUUAUGCAAACUCCAUCAGUGAUUCCCUGAUGUUGUUUCUCACCAAUUUUCUCACAGACAUGAAGACAGAAGAGAGGUUCUUGUGAACACAUUUGAACAGGGAAAAGGUAAAUACCCAAGCUGCUUACAUUUAGAGACACUCUUCUUUUGAACUAGCCCAAAUUUAAUUUCCAAAUCUUGACAUUACAGAUUGAAAUCAAAUGCCCAGAAGUUCCAAGGAAGAGUAAAAAUAGAAGCCAGAGUGGCAGAGGGAACCAUUAUGCAGUGCGUGGCCCUCAUUCACGAUGCUUACAGUAGCUGAUUUAUUAGAAGAUAGAAAAGAAAAUUGAUUUACAAAUGGUCUUGGGAAGUACAACAUAUUCUCAUUCUGAUCAAUAGUGUUUACUCAAGAAUAAACAUUCAAUAAUUAUUUACUGAGUGAAUGGACCUCAGACCAUUAACAACUCAUCAUUUCUAACCACCUUGGCUUUAUCCAUCUGGAAGGCAAGAUCUGUUUCCUAUUUCACAUUACUAUACAGGGGAAACGGAUGGAAUAAAUGAGCUGAGACUAUGACAUGAGCUACACCAAGGUCUCAGUGUGCCUUCUCAAAAGAAUAAAAGAAUCAAGAUGCAGUCUCACUAUUUGGGAGGUGUUGAAGGAGAUGCAUACAGCUGGCAAGGCCAAGGGAAGAUGCUGCUGUAUCUCCUACCAGUCCACUCCAACCAGGAGCCAGGCUGGAGCUGAAAACCACAAAGGGCAAGGUCACCAUAGCUGCAAAGGUCACAGAUGUCAGCCCAAGCUGAUCCAGAAGGCAGGCAUCACAGUUUCCACCACUGCAACCAGCUCUGACCAAACAAGACUCCCAGGGUUCUGGGAUCUACCAGAGGAAAGGAGAGGAGAGCCUGAGAUGAAAUUUUGAACUGGACUCUAGUGAGUUAAUUAUCCUGAACCCACUGAUCAGUCUCAAGAGUGGGCUGAAUAUUCUGAGAAUGUCUGCCAGAGGGUUGCUAGAGUGUCAGAGACAGAAAUUCAGGGCUGUUUUAGAAAUAAAUACAAGUCUACUUAUUUUUAUCCAUGUCUG